AUAAUGGCAGCAGCUACCUUGGGGGCAUUGGUUUAUGGUUACAUGUGGUGGAAGGGUCUAAAAUUCUCAGAUCUUAUGUAUGUGACAAAGCGUAGUAUGAC